AUUGAACGCUGGCGGCAGGCCUAACACAUGCAAGUCGAGCGGAGCGGCGGACGGGUGCGUGAGGCCUAGGAAUCUGCCUGUGAGUGGGGGAUAGCGUCCGGAAACGGGCGCUGAUACCGCAUACUAUCAGAUGAGCCUCGGUCGGAUUAGCUAGUGGGGGGGGUAAAGGCAUUCCAAGGCGACGAGCCGUAACUGGGCUGAGAGGAUGAUCAGUCACACUGGAACUGAGACACGGCCCAGACUCCUACGGGAGGCAGCAGUGGGGAAUAUUGGACAAUGGGCGAAAGCCUGAUCCAGCCAUGCCGCGUGUGUGAAGAAGGUCUUCGGAUUGUAAAGCACUUUAAGUUGGGAGGCGGUACCAACAGAAUAAGCACCGGCUAACUACGUGCCAGCAGCCGCGGUAAUUC
rnacentral:rRNA from 1 species